rnacentral:rRNA from 2 species
AAACUUUCAACAACGGAUCUCUUGGUUCCGGCAUCGAUGAAGAACGCAGCGAAAUGCGAUAAAUAAUGUGAAUUGCAGAAUUCAGUGAAUCAUCGAGUCUUUGAACGCACAUUGCGCCCCCUGGUAUUCCGGGGGGCAUGCCUGUCCGAGCGUCAUUG